CCUACGGGAGGCAGCAGUAGGGAAUUUUCGUCAAUGGGCGCAAGCCUGAACGAGCAAUGCCGCGUGAACGAGGAAGGUCUUCGGAUCGUAAAGUUCUGUUGAAGGGGAAAAAGCGCGGAGAGAGGAAAUGCUUUCUGAUUGAUAUUACCCUUCGAGGAAGUCACGGCUAACUACGUGCCAGCAGCCGCGGUAAUACGUAGGUGGCGAGCGUUAUCCGGAAUGAUUGGGCGUAAAGGGUGCGUAGGCGGCCUGCUAAGUCUGGAGUGAAAGGUACCGGCUCAACCGGUACAGGCUCUGGAAACUGGCGUGCUAGAGAGCAGGAGAGGGCGGUGGAACUCCAUGUGUGGCGGUCCAAUGCGU
rnacentral:rRNA from 1 species